UUUCAUUUUAGAGCUAAGCCAGUGUGGCUCAAUUUCUCAUUGAUCAGUUUGUCAAUCUUUUCCUUCAUCUCAUCCGUAAAGUGGUUCUCCCAAUCUCCAACCUUACCCUUCCUGAAGUAGAGUCGGUUUUCAGACACAAUAGCCCUAGCGCGUUCUCCAUUUUGAAUACCACUUUUGUUUACUUCUAACUUGCUCAAAUUCUCAAAACUACACAUUUUUAUAAUUCUUUCUAUCACACCUUCUUUCUCUUCUUGGGUUGUAAAGGGAUACCCAAUGAACUCUGCAAGUCUCUUCACGUUGCUUGUAGGAUCCUUUAUCAUAUCUUCAUAUUUCAACAAAAGAGUUAUCUCGGGUCUCUCUAGGCUUGCUUUCGCAAAUCCUGAGAGAUGAUCCCAAAUUGGUCCAAAGACAUUAAUGCCCUGACAAAACUCGUCAAAUGCCUCCUCAAAUGGGGCAUCUUCUAUGGUUUGAAGCUCGGAUUGAUUCUGGCAAUAAGUUGUAAGGAAUGUGUGUGGCUAUGGGUGUGAUACAUGAGUUGUCGAUGUGGCGGUUUUCAAGGAUUUGCUCAAUAUUUUUCUCAAGGGAGGGAAUGCAGUUAUGAGGGAUGUUUGUGAGCAAAGGUGUGUUGGAUUCGUCAAACUUUUGUCGGGUUACGAUGGCAAAAGCAAUGGCCUUUAGCCAUGUCGUGCCACUUUUGGGAUGACUGCAUAGAAACACAUCACUUGGUUGAGCCUUGAAGAUAUGUUGUGCUGAAAUUAUUCCUUCGAGGAGCUUUGGAUGGCACCAUAUGCCUUGAUAGUUGUACAUGAUUUCCCUGCCUUUCACCCAACUAUGAGUGUAUUGAGGAAAUGUUUUGAUCAUCUCUUCAAUGUCUUUAGCAGACAUAACUUUGGUCUCCAUGGAUGAUUGCUAUUUUAAUUCCACGCCAAAAGAAUGGAAGCUUGGAGAAGAAGAUUAAGAAGAUCGAGAGCGGUUCUGCAUAA
rnacentral:lncRNA from 1 species